rnacentral:misc_RNA from 1 species
AAAUGAGAUUGCCUAAGGGCUCUGCCAAGCUCCUUUGUGGUCUCUGACAUUUCCUAUGGUCGUGAGUUUCAUCCUACUUUGUUUCUUGCUCCCAAUCACCCUUUUGAACACUCCACGUGAUGCUUGUUGUGGUGCUUCUUAUGUGCUACCUCGCAUGGCUUGCUCGAGCUCUUUUGGGUCUCCUUGUUCUUAGCGUUUGUCCUCUGGGUAUCCUUCCAAGUUCACACAAGAUAGGUGACGCAACUCUUUUUGUAUUUGAAACCGCAUUUGGUUUGUUUAAUAAGCAUCUCCAACUAGGGUUCUACUAUAGCAGGCUUUUUUUGUUGGGGGCCUGCUUGCUAGAUAGUCUAAGAACCAUUUUUUUAAGCCUUCGUCUUGUUGUUACGUACUGGGCUUCUUUUCAUGGCCUGUGAGCUUGUAAUCCCUCUAUUUUUAGUGUAAUCAUU